rnacentral:rRNA from 1 species
ACCGCAUAAGCGCACGGUGUCGCAUGACACAGUGUGAAAAACUCCGGUGGUAUAAGAUGGACCCGCGUCUGAUUAGCCAGUUGGCAGGGUAACGGCCUACCAAAGCGACGAUCAGUAGCCGGCCUGAGAGGGUGAACGGCCACAUUGGGACUGAGACACGGCCCAAACUCCUACGGGAGGCAGCAGUGGGGAAUAUUGCACAAUGGGGGAAACCCUGAUGCAGCGACGCCGCGUGAGUGAAGAAGUAUUUCGGUAUGUAAAGCUCUAUCAGCAGGGAAGAAGAAAUGACGGUACCUGACUAAGAAGCCCCGGCUAACUACGUGCCAGCAGCCGCGGUAAUACGUAGGGGGCAAGCGUUAUCCGGAUUUACUGGGUGUAAAGGGAGCGUAGACGGUGAAGCAAGUCUGAAGUGAAAGGUUGGGGCUCAACCCCGAAACUGCUUUGGAAACUGUCUAACUGGAGUACAGGAGAGGUAAGUGGAAUUCCUAGUGUAGCGGUGAAAUGCGUAGAUAUUAGGAGGAACACCAGUGGCGAAGGCGGCUUACUGGACUGUAACUGACGUUGAGGCUCGAAAGCGUGGGGAGCAAACAGGAUUAGAUACCCUGUAGUCCACGCCGUAAACGAUGAUUACUAGGUGU